UACGUAGGGGGCAAGCGUUGUCCGGAUUUAUUGGGCGUAAAGAGCUCGUAGGCGGUUCCGUAAGUCGAGUGUGAAAAAUCUGGGCUCAACCCAGUGGAGCACCUCGAUACUGCGGUGACUAGAGUACGGUAGAGGAGUGUGGAAUUCCUGGUGUAGCGGUGAAAUGCGCAGAUAUCAGGAGGAACACCAACGGCGAAGGCAGCACUCUGGGCCGGUACUGACGCUCAUACACGACAGCAUGGGGAGCGAACGGG
rnacentral:rRNA from 1 species